rnacentral:sRNA from 1 species
GCCAGGCGUGGUGGAGCACACCUGUAAUCCCAGCAGCCCGGGAGGCUGAGGCAGGAGGAUCAUGGGUUCAAAGCCAGCCUCAGCAACUUAGUAAGACCCUGUCUCAA